rnacentral:lncRNA from 1 species
ACUUUCUUCUCCAGCCCCGCGGGGCACCCGCAGGUCAGCGUCGCGUCGGGCGCUGCUGGUGGCGGCUCACAGGGCCGCGGGUCACUUCGCGGCGGGGGAGCCGGGCUCAGGGCGCUCCGGGCGGCGGGCGCCGUCCCAGCCUGCCUGAGGCCCUUGUCCCGGCGGCUGCAUCUUGUAAACCGAGCAGCCAGAAAAUCCCGAGAUAGGACACCAGGGUGGAGGACGCCAAGGGGUUAAGGUCAGCGUGGGUGCCUCGCAGCCAGAGACGGGCCUAAACGGCAGCGGCAAAACAACUUUCCCAUGUUUCCCUCUCCUAAAGCCUGGAAUUUCAGAGGGCGAAAACGGAAACAGAGCACCCAAGAUGAAGAUGCUGUUAGCCUUUGCAGUCUCGACAUAAGUGAGCCUAGUAAUAAACGGGUCAAACCCCUUUCCCGAGUCACGUCGCUAGCAAACCUCAUCCCGCCCGUGAAGGCCACGCCAUUAAAGCGCUUCAGUCAAACCCUGCAGCGCUCCAUUAGCUUCCGCAGUGAGAGCCGCCCUGACAUCCUCGCCCCCCGACCCUGGUCCAGAAAUGCCGCCCCCUCGAG